rnacentral:rRNA from 1 species
UACGAAGGGGGCUAGCGUUGUUCGGAAUUACUGGGCGUAAAGCGCACGUAGGCGGAUUUGUUAGUCAGGGGUGAAGUCCCGGGGCUCAACCUCGGAACUGCCUUUGAUACUGCAAGUCUAGAGUCCGGAAGAGGUGAGUGGAAUUCCUAGUGUAGAGGUGAAAUUCGCAGAUAUUAGGAAGAACACCAGUGGCGAAGGCGGCUCACUGGUCCGGUACUGACGCUGAGGUGCGAAAGCGUGGGGAGUAAACAGG